GUAGGUGGCAAGCGUUGUCCGGAAUUAUUGGGCGUAAAGCGCGCGCAGGCGGUCCUUUAAGUCUGAUGUGAAAGCCCACGGCUCAACCGUGGAGGGUCAUUGGAAACUGGGGGACUUGAGUACAGAAGAGGAAAGCGGAAUUCCAAGUGUAGCGGUGAAAUGCGUAGAGAUUUGGAGGAACACCAGUGGCGAAGGCGGCUUUCUGGUCUGUAACUGACGCUGAGGCGCGAAAGCGUGGGGAGCAAACAGGAUUAGAUACCCUGGUAGUCCACGCCGUAAACGAUGAGUGCUAAGUGUUAGGGGGUUUCCCCCCCCCCUUAGUGCUGCAGCUAACGCAUUAAGCACUCCGCCUGGGGGAGUACGGCCGCAAGGCUG
rnacentral:rRNA from 1 species